rnacentral:piRNA from 1 species
UNUGAACUGGAGUGGACACUCAGUCAGGC